rnacentral:rRNA from 1 species
CUCCUACGGGAGGCAGCAGUGGGGAAUAUUGCACAAUGGGCGAAAGCCUGACGCAGCGACGCCGCGUGAGGGAUGACGGCCUUCGGGUUGUAAACCUCUUUCAGUAGGGAAGAAGCGAG